rnacentral:rRNA from 4 species
UUCUGACCGUAAACAAUGCCAACUAGCGAUCCGCCGGUGGCCUCUCGGCCCUGGUGGGGAGCUUCCCGGAAACGAAAGUCUUCCGGUUCCGGGGGAAGUAUGGUUGCAAAGCUGAAACUUAAAGGAAUUGACGGAAGGGCACCACCAGGAGUGGAGCCUGCGGCUUAAUUUGACUCAACACGGGGAAACUCACCCGGCCCGGACACCGUGAGGAUUGACAGAUUGAUAGCUUUUUCAUGAUUCGGUGGUUGGUGGUGCAUGGCCGUUCUUAGUUCGUGGAUCGAUUUGUCUGGUUUAUUCCGAUAACGAGCGAGACUCCAGCCUGCUAACUAGUGCGGGCAUUGCCUCUGUGCUUGUCACUUCUUAGAGGGACUGGCCGCGUUUAGCGGCACGAAACGGAGCAAUAACAGGUCUGUGAUGCCCUUAGAUGUCCGGGGCUGCACGCGCGCUACACUGGCAAAAGCAGCGUGCUUGUCCGCCUCCGAAAGGAGCCGGUAAACCCUUGAAAGUUUGCCGUGAUUGGGAUCGGAAAUUGCAAUUAUUUUCCGUGAACGAGGAAUUCCUAGUAAGUGCGAGUCAUCAGCUCGCGUUG